rnacentral:rRNA from 1 species
GUGGGGAAUCUUCCGCAAUGGACGAAAGUCUGACGGAGCGACGCCGCGUGAGUGAAGAAGGCCUUCGGGUCGUAAAGCUCUGUCAUCGGGGACGAAUGGCCGGUGGAGUGGAAAGCCACCGGAUUGACGGUACCUGAGAAGGAAGCCACGGCUAACUACGUGCCAGCAGCCGCGGUAAUACGUAGGUGGCAAGCGUUGUCCGGAAUUAUUGGGCGUAAAGCGCGCGCAGGUGGGAUCUUAAGUCCAUUUUGAAAGUUCGGAGCUCAACUCCGUGAUGGGAUGGAAACUGGGAUUCUUGAGUACCGGAGAGGAAAGCGGAAUUCCCCGUGUAGCGGUGAAAUGCGUAGAUAUGGGGAGGAACACCAGUGGCGAAGGCGGCUUUCUGGACGGUGUCUGACACUGAGGCGCGAAAGCCAGGGGAGCGAACGGGAUUAGAAACCCUUGUAGUCC